UUUUCGGAUUUGCCAUUUUGUUUUAUGAUUUGUUAAUGUGUUUCUGAAUGUUAUUUUUCUUUGGAUUUGCCGUUGUGUUUUUAGAUUUGAUGUUUUUGUUGUGCACUUCACGGCCACCGUACUUUUUUGCGAGGCAUGGGACACCUCAGCAGAUGCUUCUUGUGAAUAGCAAACUCAAAAUGUUUGAGCGCUUUUAUAAGUCAAAGUAGCAUAUCCAGGGCCAUAGGGAGAACCGGGACUUUUCCCGGUGGGCCGGAUGCGGAACGGGCUGAAUGGGAGGUGAUAAGCUGAAACGGCCACCACGUUAUGCCGAACGGGCCAUGACUGGCUGAAGCUGGCUGCAAAACGGCACCGCAGUAUGCGGAAGGGGGCCACAGUAUGCAGAAAAGGACAGAAGAAAGAAUGUCAUAUGGGUUUGGAAUGAUAUGAGGACAGUACUUUGUUCAGAGGGCCUGUUCAUCCAUCUCCGUCACUGACAAUGUCAGACUCAAUCUGCUAUAAUUCAUCAUUCAUAUCGACUCACAGCUCUUCUCAGAGGACACAAAAUGCAGGCAAAGCAGGAACAAAUCCAACAGAUAUGAAUACCUGAAUUUGUAAAAAGACAGGGAACCUCAAAGGAAUGUGCAUUUUAUGAACCCCACAUAUUUUAAUUAAAAAUUAAAACCACUGACAUGAUAAACUUCAUGUUCACAACAUGCUCCAAAAAAUAUUUUAGCCAAUUUUUACGAUUUACGCAUUUAAGUUUAAUAACAGAUUU